rnacentral:misc_RNA from 1 species
AGUUCAAUCUUUCCAGUAAGUAUAGGAAUAAGAGCUUGUGGUGUUCCAUCACCUACUAUAUUGUAUCCUUCUAGUAUUAAAGCUCCUAAGUAUUCUUUUAAAUACCGAUAUGUUUUUGGUAAUUUGCGUAUAAAUGUAUUUCUGGAUAGAGAAUCAAAGCCAAACAUAAGUACAUUUAGUUUAAGGGCCUUGUUUCCAACAUAUUCCCAUUUACUUUUCUCAUUUACUUCAGGAUCAUCCUUCACUCCGGCCAUAAUACUGUGCCAUCUAAAAAAUUGUGUAAAAUAUAAAUUUAACUAAUUUGUCAAUUGACUAUUUUUCUUACUAUGUUCUUCUUACUUAUUUCCAUCUUUUGAUUCACACUUAAUAUCAACAAAAUCGCUAUGUUUGAGAACAUAGAAAUCUUCAGACUCAACAGCAGGUUCGAAUAAUACAUUGUAAUCAUCAUCCCUAAGAAUUUCUGUGAACAAUUGAAAUAAUUAUGUCUAGUAUGUUCAAUAUGAACAUACGUCAUACAAUUUCAUAAAACUAACCACUGAAAGAGCAAAUUAUGGAUCCAUGUCUUUUUUUUGCUCUGCUGCUAAUAAUUAAUCUUGAACCAUGGAGAAUAACCCAAUUUUCUGGUGUACAUUGCAAAGUUUAUCCAGAUUUGACAAAUCAUUGUCACUAAAUCCCAGUUCUGAACGAAAAACUUGUACAACACAAAACAGCAGUAAGACAAAUAUAGCUGUUAUUGUGAAACGACGAAGAUAACAUGACAUAAUCCUCAUCUUUAUUUAGUAUAUCAUAUCUGGAAAACAAAUUGUAUACUUUUAUCCUAUAUUCUGCAUAUGAAUGUUCUAACUUUUGGAAAUAUUUCAGGGUAAUAAAUUUCUUUAAAAUUUAAUGUAGCUUUCAAAAACACUGUAAUUAAUAAUGUGAUUAAUAAGUGAAAACAUUUGUUUAUAUACAGUCACAAAAAUUUAUUAUACAUAUUAAUAAUUAGCAUUAGAAUUAGACAUCAACUUAAAUAACAAAAGGUCAAAUAAAAGAAAAAGAAAAAUCAAUCCAAAAAGAAACAUGCCAGUUAAACAAGUCUUUCUAUAUAUAAUUUUAAGUUUGUUAAUUUUGAAUUAAAUUAAUUGGCAGCAUUAGUAUGUAACACCUAUUAAACUAUUUCUUUUGAGCAGAACAUUGUAUAUAGUUUCUUACUAAAUCUAAUCCUUAAUAAAUUUAAAAAUUAAAAUUCAAGUCCUUUUUUUCUUGUUAUAAGAUUGCAUUACAAUUAUUAUAUAUUACUACAUUAUAGUUGAAAAGUUUCCUUUAAAAAAUUAACUGGCAAGUUUCUGUUAGCAUAAACGUACGUGAAAAUCGACAAUCCAGCAACUGGAUAAGUGACUUUCUAUAUAAUGGCAAUACUUAUUACGUUCGCAGCGUAGACGUAAACCCAAUCGAUUUUUUCUUAAAAGGAACCGUCGAAUUAGAGAGAAAUUUUAAGAUUUAAUGUAUAAAUAAUUAUGUAUUGUAUUGAGAUUUUUUCAAUAAGCUUCUUUUCCUGUUACUUCCACUAAUAUUAUAGGAGUGACGAGCAUAAAAUGAGCACAUUAAAAACAUUUAAAAACUUGAUGUUUCUUAAAGUUUGUUUUUCCUUUUUCUGCU